CAUGCUGGUCGCCACUGCCGUCUGCUGUUACCUCUUCUGGCUCAUCGCCAUCCUGGCGCAGCUGAACCCCCUCUUCGGGCCCCAGCUGAAGAAUGAGACCAUCUGGUACGUGCGCUUCCUGUGGGAGUGACCCGCCGCCCCCGACCCAGGUGCCCAGCUCUCGGAAUGACGUGGCUCCACUGUCCCUGACAACCCCUUUGUCCGGACCCUCCCCCACACAACUGUGUCUGGUCACCAGCUCCCUCCUGCUGAUACCCAGAGACCCGGACCCGCAGGACCUGCCUGGUUCCUGGAAGUCUUCCCAGUCUUCUUAGCCAGCCCGGGCCCUGGGGAGCCCUGGGCACAGCAGGGCCGA
rnacentral:sRNA from 1 species